UACGGAGGGGGCAAGUGUUACUCAUCAUGACUAGGCGUAAAGGGUGCUAAGAUUGCUAAAGUUUGUUCUGAUAUAAAGAUCAAUUGAAAUAUUGAAAGAAAUCACAUAAACAAUUUAGCUUGAGUAGAUUGGAGAAUAGAGUUACUAGUUUUUGAGGGGUAGAAUCCGACGAGAAGAUUAGGAGAUACAAAGGCGAAGGCAACUAUUUAUGAUCGACUGACAUUGAUACACAAAAGCGUGGGGAGCAAACAGG
rnacentral:rRNA from 1 species